rnacentral:rRNA from 1 species
AUUGAACGCUGGCGGCAUGCCUUACACAUGCAAGUCGAACGGCAGCACGGGUGCUUGCACCUGGUGGCGAGUGGCGAACGGGUGAGUAAUACAUCGGAACAUGUCCUGUAGUGGGGGAUAGCCCGGCGAAAGCCGGAUUAAUACCGCAUACGAUCUACGGGUGAAAGCGGGGGACCUUCGGGCCUCGCGCUAUAGGGUUGGCCGAUGGCUGAUUAGCUAGUUGGUGGGGUAAAGGCCUACCAAGGCGACGAUCAGUAGCCGGUCUGAGAGGACGACCAGCCACACUGGGACUGAGACACGGCCCAGACUCCUACGGGAGGCAGCAGUGGGGAAUUUUGGACAAUGGGCGGAAGCCUGAUCCAGCAAUGCCGCGUGUGUGAAGAAGACCUUCGGGUUGUAAAGCACUUUUGUCCGGAAAGAAAUCCUUGGCCCUAAUACGGUCGGGGGAUGACGGUACCGGAAGAAUAAGCACCGGCUAACUACGUG